rnacentral:rRNA from 1 species
AUAAUGGGUCAGCGACUUAUAUUCUGUAGCAAGGUUAACCGAAUAGGGGAGCCGAAGGGAAACCGAGUCUUAACUGGGCGUUAAGUUGCAGGGUAUAGACCCGAAACCCGGUGAUCUAGCCAUGGGCAGGUUGAAGGUUGGGUAACACUAACUGGAGGACCGAACCGACUAAUGUUGAAAAAUUAGCGGAUGACUUGUGGCUGGGGGUGAAAGGCCAAUCAAACCGGGAGAUAGCUGGUUCUCCCCGAAAGCUAUUUAGGUAGCGCCUCGUGAAUUCAUCUCCGGGGGUAGAGCACUGUUUCGGCAAGGGGGUCAUCCCGACUUACCAACCCGAUGCAAACUGCGAAUACCGGAGAAUGUUAUCACGGGAGACACACGGCGGGUGCUAACGUCCGUCGUGAAGAGGGAAACAACCCAGACCGCCAGCUAAGGUCCCAAAGUCAUGGUUAAGUGGGAAACGAUGUGGGAAGGCCCAGACAGCCAGGAUGUUGGCUUAGAAGCAGCCAUCAUUUAAAGAAAGCGUAAUAGCUCACUGGUCGAGUCGGCCUGCGCGGAAGAUGUAACGGGGCUAAACCAUGCACCGAAGCUGCGGCAGCGACGCUGAUGCGUUGUUGGGUAGGGGAGCGUUCUGUAAGCCUGUGAAGGUGUGCU